rnacentral:rRNA from 1 species
GACGAACGCUGGCGGCGUGCUUAUCACAUGCAAGUCGAGCGGAAAGGCCCUUCGGGGUACUCGAGCGGCGAACGGGUGAGUAACACGUGAGUAAUCUGCCCUUGGCUUUGGGAUAACUACCGGAAACGGUGGCUAAUACCGGAUACGACAACCGUCUGCAUGGGCUGGUUGUGGAAAGUUUUUUCGGCCAGGGAUGUGCUCGCGGCCUAUCAGCUUGUUGGUGGGGUAAUGGCCUACCAAGGCUUCGACGGGUAGCCGGCCUGAGGGUGACCGGCCACACUGGGACUGAGACACGGCCCAGACUCCUACGGGAGGCAGCAGUGGGGAAUAUUGGACAAUGGGCGGAAGCCUGAUCCAGCAACGCCGCGUGAGGGAUGACGGCCUUCGGGUUGUAAACCUCUUUCAGUACCGACGAAGCGCCGAUGAUGGUGGUGACGGUAGGCACAGAAGAAGCACCGGCCAACUACGUG